rnacentral:rRNA from 1 species
UACGUAGGGUGCGAGCGUUGUCCGGAAUUACUGGGCGUAAAGAGCUCGUAGGUGGUUUGUCGCGUUGUUCGUGAAAUCUCACGGCUUAACUGUGAGCGUGCGGGCGAUACGGGCAGACUGGAGUACUGCAGGGGAGACUGGAAUUCCUGGUGUAGCGGUGGAAUGCGCAGAUAUCAGGAGGAACACCGGUGGCGAAGGCGGUUCUCUGGGCCUGUACUGACGCUGAGGAGCGAAAGCGUGGGGGAGCGAACAGG